AUUGAACGCUGGCGGAAUGCUUUACACAUGCAAGUCGAGCGGCAGCGCGGCCUUCGGGCUGGCGGCGAGCGGCGAACGGGUGAGUAAUGCAUCGGAACAUGCCCAGUCGUGGGGGAUAACACUUCGAAAGAAGUGCUAAUACCGCAUACGCCCUGAGGGGGAAAGCGGGGGAUCGCAAGACCUCGCGCGAUUGGAGUGGCCGAUGUCAGAUUAGCUAGUUGGUGGGGUAAAGGCCUACCAAGGCGACGAUCUGUAGCUGGUCUGAGAGGAUGAUCAGCCACACUGGGACUGAGACACGGCCCAGACUCCUACGGGAGGCAGCAGUGGGGAAUUUUGGACAAUGGGGGCAACCCUGAUCCAGCCAUGCCGCGUGAGUGAAGAAGGCCUUCGGGUUGUAAAGCUCUUUCGGCAGGAACGAAACGGUGGGCUCUAACAUAGUCCGCUAAUGACGGUACCUGAAGAAGAAGCACCGGCUAACUACGUG
rnacentral:rRNA from 1 species